GGCCGGUGAUGCACAAUCGAUAUUUGCUACUCUCGAGGUCACCCUGUGACGAAACUUUUCCACCAAGAUCUCUGAGGCC
rnacentral:snoRNA from 1 species